rnacentral:rRNA from 1 species
UCGAACGGUAACAUUUCUAGCUUGCUAGAAGAUGACGAGUGGCGGACGGGUGAGUAAUGCUUGGGAACUUGCCUUUGCGAGGGGGAUAACAGUUGGAAACGACUGCUAAUACCGCAUAAUGUCUUCGGACCAAACGGGGCUUCGGCUCCGGCGCAAAGAGAGGCCCAAGUGAGAUUAGCUAGUUGGUAAGGUAACGGCUUACCAAGGCGACGAUCUCUAGCUGUUCUGAGAGGAAGAUCAGCCACACUGGGACUGAGACACGGCCCAGACUCCUACGGGAGGCAGCAGUGGGGAAUAUUGCACAAUGGGGGAAACCCUGAUGCAGCCAUGCCGCGUGUGUGAAGAAGGCCUUCGGGUUGUAAAGCACUUUCAGUUGUGAGGAAAAGUUAGUAGUUAAUACCUGCUAGCCGUGACGUUAACAACAGAAGAAGCACCGGCUAACUCCGUGCCAGCAGCCGCGGUAAUACGGAGGGUGCGAGCGUUAAUCGGAAUUACUGGGCGUAAAGCGCACGCAGGCGGUUUGUUAAGCUAGAUGUGAAAGCCCCGGGCUCAACCUGGGAUGGUCAUUUAGAACUGGCAGACUAGAGUCUUGGAGAGGGGAGUGGAAUUCCAGGUGUAGCGGUGAAAUGCGUAGAUAUCUGGAGGAACAUCAGUGGCGAAGGCGACUCCCUGGCCAAAGACUGACGCUCAUGUGCGAAAGUGUGGGUAGCGAACAGGAUUAGAUACCCUGGUAGUCCACACCGUAAACGCUGUCUACUAGCUGUGUGUGUCUUUAAGACGUGCGUAGCGAAGCUAACGCG